rnacentral:misc_RNA from 1 species
GUAACAACACGACAAUCCCAGCAGCAAUCCAAUCAUUUCUGUCGCGUCGGGUACUACUCAUUCCUGCAUGUUUCCCCUUAUGCGCGUGACACAUUCCCUUCCCCCCUUUGUUUAGUUGUUUCCAGCCUCUAGACUGUGUACUCGUACGAACGCUAGCAACACCAGACGCGGAAUCGUCCUUGCGAGCUUGGAGAUGGCGCCAGCGGGGAUCCAAGGACGAUGGAGUCGAU